ensembl:lncRNA
ACACAUGCACAUAAUAUUCCAUUCCUGUCUCAGACCAAAGCACACCAUUUUACUCAAAAGCAGUAGGUCCAGAUAGCCUUUAUUCAGACAGACAUUUUCCCCACUCCUCUCUCCAUUACUGUGUUGCACACACCAAGGUUAUAAUAGUAAACGAAAACUGAAAUGAAAAUUAAAUAAAAACAAAAAUUGGAAAAACAAUUGAGUAAACUGAAAAACGAAAACUAUACUGGAACUAUUAUCUUUGACUGCAAAACAAACUAAAAUAUAAUUAAAACCAUCAUGAAUUGUGUUCAGUUGUUGUUUUUUUCCUUCUAAACUUUGGAUAAAAAUCUAAUGUGGUUUUGAAGCUUUUUUCUCUAAUGGGGUUUUCGAACUUCUGAAUCUGGAGGGUAAAUGCUGCCAGUAGAUGGCGAUGUUUCAAAUAGGCCUAGCUGGUGCAUCGCUGCAUCGCUAGCUAACGGAAGAAAUCUGACAUUGUAGAGGGGGGUGAUUAGGUGGUCAUGAUGGGAAUGGGACCAGGUUGGGAAUUUUGUCAUGACAUCAGGGUUAACACCCUUACUCUUAUGAUAAGUAAUGGGCUUUUUAAUGACCACAGGAAGUCAGGACAUCAGUUUAUUAACAUCCCAUCCAAAAGACAGCACUCUACACAGGGCAAUGUCCCCUUCACUGCCCUGGGGAUCAGGGUGCAGGGUAGUAUGCAGGGUGUGGGACACAGCAGUGGUAUGCAGGGUGGUACACAGCAGUGGGAUGCAGGGUGGUAUGCAGUAGUGGGAUGCAGGGUGGUAUGCAGCAGUGGGAUGCAGGGUGGUAUGCAGUAGGUGGUACAGUGGGAUGCAGGGUGGUAUGCAGCAGUGGGAUGCAGGGUGGUAUGCAGUAGUGGGAUGCAGGGUGGGAUGCAGGGUGGUAUGCUGCUGGCUGGCAGCAGUGGGAUGCAGGGUGGUAGUGGGAUGCAGGGUGGUAUGCUGCUGGCUGGCAGCAGUGGGAUGCAGGGUGGUAGUGGGAUGCAGGGUGGUAUGCAGUAGUGG